rnacentral:tRNA from 1 species
GCCCUCAUAGUUCAAUGGAUAGAACAAGGGACUCCUAAGCCCUAAAUCCAUGUUCGAUUCAUGGUGGGGGCA